UUAACUUACAUUUGUAUGGAGUUGGAAAAGCUUCCCCUCGUUUGCCGCUAGGGGCGCUUUUCCAACUCCAUACAAAUUUGAGUGA
rfam:Bombyx mori DNA, contig: Bm_scaf30_contig19108, strain: p50T/Dazao, build 2, whole genome shotgun sequence.